UGUCGUGUCAAUGCUGUCAAGCACUGUGAUGUUUACGAAAAUGAGAAUGUUUAUGAAAGACCUUCAAUAUAACAGAAAAGGGAAAUCGCUUCAGAUACGACCCAAUGAAAAUGAGAUUUUCGAUAUCCCAUCAAGUAAAUAUCGGUACAAGAGUUCAAUAACUGGAUUUGAAAUACAGGACAACAUAAUGACGACUCCUAAAAUCAAGUGGCCAGUGACUUGUACUAUCGAAAUGAAUGAAACCGAAAUUGCUCUUUAUCGGAAGACAUUAACUAAGUUCAUUCACAUUAGCGGCUCAAAACCUACCUACAUUAUAAUCCUUUGCAAAGCAUAUCUACUGUUUCAAUUAUCAAUUACCGAAAUGAAAAAAAUUGAGCUGAAAUGCAACUGACUAAUUCAGUUUGAAAUAUUUUCUCCUAAUAAUUUGCAGACUGAAACAAAAUUUAUGAUGGGUAGUACUACAAAUGAUAUUCAUUAUAUUGUUACAUAACUAUU